UACAGAGGGGGCAAGCGUUAUUCGGAAUUAUUGGGCGUAAAGGGCGCGUAGGCGGCUUGGCAAGUGGAAGGUGAAAUCCCUCGGCUUAACCGAGGAACUGCCCUCCAAACUGCUUGGCUUGAGACCGGGAGAGGUGAGUGGAAUUCCCAGUGUAGCGGUGAAAUGCGUAGAUAUUGGGAGGAACACCAGUGGCGAAGGCGGCUCACUGGACCGGUACUGACGCUGAUGCGCGAAAGCUAGGGGAGCAAACAGG
rnacentral:rRNA from 1 species